CCAAAUUUGUGAAAACGUGGGGGGGGGCGUGCUGGUGGGGGGUCGGGCAGAGGGGGAAAGGGAAAAGCCUGGGGGGGUUUUUGAAGGCGGAAUUUAUAUCCGCGGGGGAAACUACAUUCAAUAAGCGGAGGAAAAGAAACUAACAAGGAUUCCCCUAGUAACUGCGAGUGAAGCGGGAAGAGCUCAAAUUUAAAAUCUGGCGUGCCUCUGGUCGUCCGAGUUGUAGUCUGGAGAAGUGUUUUCCGUGUUGGACCGUGUAUAAGUCUCUUGGAACAGGGCGUCAUAGAGGGUGAGAAUCCCGUCUUUGACACGGACUACCAAUGCUUUGUGAUGCGCUCUCAAAGAGUCGAGUUGUUUGGGAAUGCAGCUCAAAAUGGGUGGUAAAUUCCAUCUAAAGCUAAAUAUAGGCGAGAGACCGAUAGCGAACAAGUACCGUGAGGGAAAGAUGAAAAGCACUUUGGAAAGAGAGUUAAACAGUACGUGAAAUUGCUGAAAGGGAAACGCUUGAAGUCAGUCAUGUCUGCCAGGACUCAGCCUUGCUUCUGCUUGGUGUACUUUCUGGUUUGAUGGGCCAACAUCAAUUUCGACCAUUGGAGAAAGGCUUUGGGAACGUGGCACCUUUGGGUGUGUUAUAGCCCUUUGUUGUAUACAAUGGUCGGGAUUGAGGACUGCAGCACGCCUUCAUGGCCGGGGUUCGCCCACGUACGUGCUUAGGAUGUUGGCAUAAUGGCUUUAAGCGACCCGUCUUGAAACACGGACCAAGGAGUCUAACAUGCCUGCGAGUGUUUGGGUGGAAAACCCAUGCGCGUAAUGAAAGUGACAGCUGAGAUCCUCUCAUCAGGAGCAUCAGCGCCUGGACUUGAUCUACGGAGACAGUUCUACGGUGGAGCAUGUAUGUUGGGACCCGAAAGAUGGUGAACUAUGCCUGAAUAGGGUGAAGCCAGAGGAAACUCUGGUGGAGGCUCGUAGCGAUUCUGACGUGCAAAUCGAUCGUCAAAUUUGGGUAUAGGGGCGAAAGACUAAUCGAACCUCUAGUUGCUUUU
rnacentral:rRNA from 1 species